rnacentral:lncRNA from 13 species
UAACUGUGGUCCCAUCAGGUCCUGGCUGCUGCAGAGAUAACUCUGGUCCCAUCAGGUCCUGGCUGCUGCAGAGAUAACUCUGGUCCCAUCAGGUCCUGGCUGCUGCAGAGAUAACUGUGGUCCAUUCAGGUCCUGGCUGCUGCAGAGAUAACUCUGGUCCCAUCAGGUCCUGGCUGCUGCAGAGAUAACUGUGGUCCCAUCAGGUCCUGGCUGCUGCAGAGAUAACUCUGGUCCCAUCAGGUCCUG